rnacentral:rRNA from 1 species
UACAGAGGGUGCGAGCGUUAAUCGGAAUUACUGGGCGUAAAGCGUGCGUAGACGGUUAUUUAAGUCGGAUGUGAAAGCCCCGGGCUCAACCUGGGAAUUGCAUUCGAGACUGAAUAGCUAGGGUACGGUAGAGGGAAGUGGAAUUUCCGGUGUAGCGGUGAAAUGCGUAGAUAUCGGAAGGAACAUCAGUGGCGAAAGCGGCUUCCUGGACCAGAACUGACGAUCAGGCACGAAAGCGUGGGGAG